rnacentral:rRNA from 1 species
AACGCUAGCUACAGGCUUAACACAUGCAAGUCGAGGGGCAGCAUAAAAGUAGCAAUACUUUGGUGGCGACCGGCGCACGGGUGAGUAACGCGUAUGCAACCUACCUAUCAGAGGGGGAUAACCCGGCGAAAGUCGGACUAAUACCGCAUAAAACAGGGGCACCGCAUGGUGCUAUUUGUUAAAAAUUUAUUGCUGAUAGAUGGGCAUGCGUUCCAUUAGGUAGUUGGAGAGGUAACGGCUCACCAAGCCCACGAUGGAUAGGGGAACUGAGAGGUUGGUCCCCCACACUGGUACUGAGACACGGACCAGACUCCUACGGGAGGCAGCAGUGAGGAAUAUUGGUCAAUGGGCGAGAGCCUGAACCAGCCAAGUCGCGUGAAGGAAGAAGGAUCUAUGGUUCGUAAACUUCUUUUGCAGGGGAAUAAAGUGCAGGACGUGUCCUGUUUUGUAUGUACCCUGAGAAUAAGGAUCGGCUAACUCCGUGCCAGCAGCCGCGGUAAUACGGAGGAUCCGAGCGUUAUCCGGAUUUAUUGGGUUUAAAGGGUGCGUAGGUGGUUUAAUAAGUCAGCGGUGAAAGUUUGCAGCUUAACUGUAAAAAUGCCGUUGAAACUGUUAGACUUGAGUGUAAAUGAGGUAGGCGGAAUGCGUGGUGUAGCGGUGAAAUGCUUAGAUAUCACGAAGAACUCCGAUUG